rnacentral:rRNA from 1 species
CGGUGAAGCGGAGCUUGCUCCGCGGAUCAGUGGCGAACGGGUGAGUAACACGUGAGCAACCUACCCCUGACUCUGGGAUAACAGUUGGAAACAGCUGCUAAUACCGGAUACGACCUCAGCAGGCAUCUGCCGAGGUGGAAAGCUCCGACGGUCAGGGAUGGGCUCGCGGCCUAUCAGCUUGUUGGUGAGGUAACGGCUCACCAAGGCGACGACGGGUAGCCGGCCUGAGAGGGCGACCGGCCACACUGGGACUGAGAUACGGCCCAGACUCCUACGGGAGGCAGCAGUGGGGAAUAUUGCACAAUGGGCGCAAGCCUGAUGCAGCAACGCCGCGUGCGGGAUGACGGCCUUCGGGUUGUAAACCGCUUUCAGCAGGGACGAAGCUAACGUGACGGUACCUGCAGAAGAAGCACCGGCUAACUACGUGCCAGCAGCCGCGGUGAUACGUAGGGUGCGAGCGUUGUCCGGAUUUAUUGGGCGUAAAGAGCUUGUAGGCGGUUUGUUGCGUCAGAAGUGAAAACUCAGAGCUUAACUCUGAGCCUGCUUUCGAUACGGGCAGACUUGAGGGAUGUAGGGGAGAACGGAAUUCCUGGUGGAGCGGUGGAAUGCGCAGAUAUCAGGAGGAACACCAGUGGCGAAGGCGGUUCUCUGGACAUUUCCUGACGCUGAGAAGCGAAAGCGUGGGGAGCAAACAGGCUUAGAUACCCUGGUAGUCCACGCCGUAAACGGUGGGCACUAGGUGUGGGACCCUUCCACGGGUUCCGUGCCGUAGCUAACGCAUUAAGUGCCCCGCCUGGGGAGUACGGCCGCAAGGCUAAAACUCAAAGGAAUUGACGGGGGCACGCACAAGCGGCGGAGCAUGCGGAUUAAUUCGAUGCAACGCGAAGAACCUUACCUGGGUUUGACAUAUACCGGAAACAUCUGGAGACAGGUGCCCAGCAAGGUCGGUAUACAGGUGGUGCAUGGCUGUCGUCAGCUCGUGUCGUGAGAUGUUGGGUUAAGUCCCGCAACGAGCGCAACCCUCGUUCUAUGUUGCCAGCGGAUAAUGCCGGGAACUCAUAGAAGACUGCCGGGGUCAACUCGGAGGAAGGUGGGGAUGACGUCAAGUCAUCAUGCCCCUUAUGUCCAGGGCUUCACGCAUGCUACAAUGGCUGGUACAAAGGGCUGCGAUAUCGCAAGAUGGAGCGAAUACCAUAAAGCCAGUCUCAGUUCGGAUUGGGGUCUGCAACUCGACCCCAUGAAGUCGGAGUCGCUAGUAAUCGCAGAUCAGCAACGCUGCGGUGAAUACGUUCCCGGGCCUUGUACACACCGCCCGUCAAG